rnacentral:lncRNA from 1 species
GAAGAAAUGAAAGAAGAUCUGUGAAGAAGAGACAUUGUGGUGGAUGGUGAGACAGAGGCACACUCUGUCCUGGGAUUCCCCAUCUCUGAGCCCAUGGAUAAGGAGGUUCCACUAGCAGCACUAGCAGCCAGUGCCCUACUGUGACCACACCUCUGCCACACUGCACUGCAGCAGUACCUAAAGUGCCCAUCUCCUUGGCACUGGCAUAGCACCUGGCAACUUCAGCAGAAGACUGUAGUUUAUUAUGGUCAAAGCAGAGUCCUACACCACCAGGAUUAGCUCACACUGAAAG